rnacentral:rRNA from 1 species
AUUGAACGCUGGCGGCAUGCUUUACACAUGCAAGUCGAACGGUAACAGGCCGCAAGGUGCUGACGAGUGGCGAACGGGUGAGUAAUGCAUCGGAACGUGCCCAGUCGUGGGGGAUAACGCAGCGAAAGCUGCGCUAAUACCGCAUACGAUCUAUGGAUGAAAGCGGGGGACCGUAAGGCCUCGCGCGAUUGGAGCGGCCGAUGUCAGAUUAGGUAGUUGGUGGGGUAAAGGCUCACCAAGCCAACGAUCUGUAGCUGGUCUGCGAGGACGACCGGCCACACUGGGACUGAGACACGGGCCAGGCUCCUACGGGAGGCAGCAGUGGGGAAUUUUGGAAAAUGGGCGCAAGCCUGAUCCAGCAAUGCCGCGUGCAGGAAGAAGGCCUUCGGGUUGUAAACUGCUUUUGUACGGAACGAAACGGCUCUGGUUAAUACCUGGGGCUAAUGACGGCACCGUAAGAAUAAGCACCGGCUAACUACGUGCCAGCCGCCGCCGUAAAAC